rnacentral:rRNA from 1 species
CUGGUUGAUCCUGCCAGUAGUGAUAUGCUUGUUUCAAAGAUUAAGCCAUGCAUGUCUAAGUAUAAGCGAACUUAUACAGUGAAACCGCGGAUGGCUCAUUAAAACAGUUUGAAUUUAUUUGAUGAAUGUAUGAGAAUACUACUUGGAUAACCGUAGUAAUUCUAGAGCUAAUACAUGCAACGACGCCCGACCGUUUCACUACGGAAGGGCUGUAUUUAUUGGAUACCAAAACCAUCCUUCCCUCGGGAAGUUUUGUUUGAUGAUUCACAAUAACUGAUCGGAUCGCCACUGUGGUGGCGACAGGUCAUUCAACAUUCUGCCCUAUCAGCUUCCGAUGGUUGUGUAGUGGACAACCAUGGCCAUAACGGGUAACGGAGAAUCAGGGUUCGAUUCCGGAGAAGGAGCUUGAGAAUUGGCUACUACAUCUAAGGAAGGCAGCAGGCGCGCAAAUUACCCAAUCCCGAUUCGGGGAGGUAGUGACAAAAAAUAACAAUACCGGGCCUUUUUGGGCUUGGUAAUUGGAAUGAGGGAGAGUUAAACGGACCAUCGAGUAUCCAUUGGAGGGCAAGUCUGGUGCCAGCAGCUGCGGUAAUACCAGCUCCAAUAGCGUAUAUUAAAGUUGUUGCAGUUAAAAAGCUCGUAGUUGGACUUGUGUGCGCUGUCCGCGGGUGGCCUGCGCCCAAAAGGGCGUUUCGGUUCGGCCCCGGUGGCGCCUUGAAAUCUGCAGCUGGGGGGACGUUGGCCUUAACUGGUCGGCGACCGCACGCCGGCUGCUCGGUUACUGUGAGAAAAUUAGAGUGUUCAAGGCAGGCAUUGGGUGCAAUUGAAUACAUUAGCAUGGAAUAAUAAAAUAUGGCUCCUGCCGUAUUUUGUUGGUUUUGACUGGUGGGAGUAAUGAUUGAUAGGGACGGUUGGGGGUGCUUGUAUUGAGCGGCCAGAGGUGAAAUUCAUGGAUUCGCUCAAGACUGACUUAUGCGAAAGCAUUCACCAAGGACGUCCUCUUUAAUCAAGAACGAAAGUUGGGGGAUCGAAGACGAUCAGAUACCGUCGUAGUCUCAACCAUAAACUAUGUCGACUUGGGAUCGGCGGUAGUUUUUUCAUUAAGACACUGUCGGGACCACGGGAGAAAUCAAAGUGUCUGGACUCUGGGGGAAGUAUGGUCGCAAGGCUGAAACUUGAAGGAAUUGACGGAGGGGCACCACCAGGAGUGGAGCCUGCG